AUUAUUAAAAUGCAUCGCAGGUAGUAUGUAGUGGGUGCAUAUGUCGAAUAGGUUUAAAUUGGCUCUUUGCUGAGAAGUGAGGAGAAUUAAUAGCGUGAAGAAUUGAUUUAUUAAUCCAAACGAUUAUCCGAUAAGGCUGUCAUCGUUGAUUUGGUACGUGAAUUAACCACGUGAUGCGGAGAACCAGAAUUGAGUUGACCACAAGAUGGUGCUGAUGAACGGAAUUGAAGAUGGACAGACGAAACAAGUAUCAGAACAAAGGAUGGUCGUCAAGUGAUCGACGUCUAACAAACACUAACGUACUGUUUAUCCCAGGCAAGCCCCGGUGCAUGCAACCCCUUCCUUGUGUUUUUAAAUAAUUUUUACAUACUUUAAGUCUAGCGAAAAUGUGCAUUAGGUUUAUAGGAGUUGCUUGGAAACCCUUUGAUGCAUUGCCUACCUUGAUAUCCAUACCUUUAUAGAUACUUCUGAUGAAGUAUCAAAAUAUGAUUUA
rnacentral:lncRNA from 1 species